UUCCCGCUGCUCUCCUCAGUUCGCGCCGAGCUGCGCUGGGCAGAGGUCUGUGUGGGGAGGCCAGAGCCCGGGAACUGCUGUGCUGAAUGCAUUUUUGUUUUGAUCAG